AACGAACGCUGGCGGCAUGCCUAACACAUGCAAGUCGAACGAGACCUUCGGGUCUAGUGGCGCACGGGUGCGUAACGCGUGGGAACCUGCCCUUAGGUUCGGAAUAACUCCCCGAAAGGGGUGCUAAUACCGGAUAAUGUCUUCGGACCAAAGAUUUAUCGCCUUUGGAUGGGCCCGCGUUGGAUUAGCUAGUUGGUAGGGUAAAAGCCUACCAAGGCGACGAUCCAUAGCUGGUCUGAGAGGAUGAUCAGCCACACUGGGACUGAGACACGGCCCAGACUCCUACGGGAGGCAGCAGUGGGGAAUAUUGGACAAGGGGCGAAAGCCUGAUCCAGCAAUGCCGCGUGAGUGAUGAAGGCCUUAGGGUUGUAAAGCUCUUGUACCCGGGAUGAUAAUGACAGUACCGGGAGAAUAAGCUCCGGCUAACUACGUG
rnacentral:rRNA from 1 species